rnacentral:rRNA from 1 species
UACCAGCACCCCGAGUGGUCUGGACGCUUAUUGGGCCUAAAGCAUCCGUAGCCGGUUUUACAAGUCCUCCGUUAAAUCCAGCUGCUUAACAGAUGGGCUGCGGAGGAUACUAUAAGACUAGGAGGCAGGAGAGGCAAGCGGUACUCAGUGGGUAGGGGUAAGACGCUUUGAUCCAUUGAAGACCACCAGUGGCGAAGGCGGCUUGCCAGAACGCGCUCGACGGUGAGGGAUGAAAGCUGGGGGAGCAAACCGG